UACAGAGGUCCCAAGCGUUGUUCGGAUUCAUUGGGCGUAAAGGGUGCGUAGGCGGCGCGGUAAGUCGGGUGUGAAAUCUCGGGGCUUAGCUCCGAAACUGCAUUCGAUACUGCCGUGCUUGAGGACUGGAGAGGAGACUGGAAUUUACGGUGUAGCGGUGAAAUGCGUAGAUAUCGUAAGGAAGACCAGUGGCGAAGGCGGGUCUCUGGACAGUUCCUGACGCUGAGGCACGAAGGCCAGGGGAGCAAACGGG
rnacentral:rRNA from 1 species